ensembl:lncRNA
CACGAAUUGAAUCCUAACACUUAUCCUAACACUUGCAAGGCAGAGGCAGCUGGAUCUUUAUGACUUUGUUCUACGUAGUCAAUUCCAGGCAAGACAGGUAUACAGUGUGAGACCCUGUCUCAAAACAAACAAACAAACAAACAAACAAACAAACAAACAAACAAACCACCUGUGUUUACGGGGGUUUGGGACAGGGAGGUCUGAUGCUAAGGUCCUUUCCCCCAAUUGGUUCUCGAUCUGUCAGUAAAGAAGCUAUGGACCAAUUGCUCGGUGGAAGGGAUAGGCGGGACUUCCUGUUCCCGAGAGGCAAGCCAACAGAUUCAAGGGAGGAAAGGAGCUGAGGCAGGAGCUCCAGGCGGGAACCCGGAAGUGAAGUGGAAACCAAGAUGGAAUGCUGCUUACUGGAUUGUUACCAGGCAAUCCCUGUGAAAGGUUGACCCCCAAAGGCAUCGAAGCCCAUGGAUUGAGAACCUCUGAUAUAAACAGAUAGAGCCUAACUCCUAAUGCCAUUGUGCCUCAUGCCAAAGAAACAAUUUCUGAGAGGACAGUGGCACCAUAUAUUUAUUACUUCAAGUGAGUGAACAGUCAGCUUAAAAUGUCACUUCAAUUCAACCCAACUCAAGUGGUGCAAGACAAGGCCAGUGACACUGUCACCUUCUGUAAAAGGCCCCAUCCCCUUCUCAUGGGCACAGCUUUCUUCUUUCCUUAAAAAUUUGCCAAGGGUGUCUCUGGCCACGAUGUCUUUUUUCUCCCAGCAGCAUCUACUUUUAUUAAAAUGUAUUUAUCAC